GGUUAAGCGACUAAGCGUACACGGUGGAUGCCCUGGCAGUCAGAGGCGAUGAAGGACGUGCUAAUCUGCGAAAAGCGUCGGUAAGGUGAUAUGAACCGUUACAGCCGGCGAUGUCCGAAUGGGGAAACCCAGUGCAAUUCGUUGCACUAUCGUUAACUGAAUACAUAGGUUAACGAGGCGAACCGGGGGAACUGAAACAUCUAAGUACCCCGAGGAAAAGAAAUCAACCGAGAUUCCCCCAGUAGCGGCGAGCGAACGGGGAGCAGCCCAGAGUCUGAAUCAGCUUGUGUGUUAGUGGAACGGUCUGGAAAGUCCGACGGUACAGGGUGAUAGUCCCGUACACCAAAAUGCACAGGCUGUGAACUCGAAGAGUAGGGCGGGACACGUGGUAUCCUGUCUGAAUAUGGGGGGACCAUCCUCCAAGGCUAAAUACUCCUGACUGACCGAUAGUGAACCAGUACCGUGAGGGAAAGGCGAAAAGAACCCCGGCGAGGGGAGUGAAAAAGAACCUGAAACCGUGUACGUACAAGCAGUGGGAGCACCUUCGGGUGUGACUGCGUACCUUUUGUAUAAUGGGUCAGCGACUUAUAUUCUGUAGCAAGGUUAACCGUAUAGGGGAGCCGCAGGGAAACCGAGUCUUAACUGGGCGUUAAGUUGCAGGGUAUAGACCCGAAACCCGGUGAUCUAGCCAUGGGCAGGUUGAAGGUUGGGUAACACUAACUGGAGGACCGAACCGACUAAUGUUGAAAAAUUAGCGGAUGACUUGUGGCUGGGGGUGAAAGGCCAAUCAAACCGGGAGAUAGCUGGUUCUCCCCGAAAGCUAUUUAGGUAGCGCCUCGUGAAUUCAUCUUCGGGGGUAGAGCACUGUUUCGGCUAGGGGGUCAUCCCGACUUACCAACCCGAUGCAAACUGCGAAUACCGAAGAAUGUUAUCACGGGAGACACACGGCGGGUGCUAACGUCCGUCGUGAAGAGGGAAACAACCCAGACCGCCAGCUAAGGUCCCAAAGUCAUGGUUAAGUGGGAAACGAUGUGGGAAGGCACAGACAGCCAGGAUGUUGGCUUAGAAGCAGCCAUCAUUUAAAGAAAGCGUAAUAGCUCACUGGUCGAGUCGGCCUGCGCGGAAGAUGUAACGGGGCUAAACCAUGCACCGAAGCUGCGGCAGCGACACUAUGUGUUGUUGGGUAGGGGAGCGUUCUGUAAGCCUGCGAAGGUGUGCUGUGAGGCAUGCUGGAGGUAUCAGAAGUGCGAAUGCUGACAUAAGUAACGAUAAAGCGGGUGAAAAGCCCGCUCGCCGGAAGACCAAGGGUUCCUGUCCAACGUUAAUCGGGGCAGGGUGAGUCGACCCCUAAGGCGAGGCCGAAAGGCGUAGUCGAUGGGAAACAGGUUAAUAUUCCUGUACUUGGUGUUACUGCGAAGGGGGGACGGAGAAGGCUAUGUUAGCCGGGCGACGGUUGUCCCGGUUUAAGCAUGUAGGCUGGUUGUCCAGGCAAAUCCGGAUAAUCAAGGCUGAGGUGUGAUGACGAGGCACUACGGUGCUGAAGUAACAAAUGCCCUGCUUCCAGGAAAAGCCUCUAAGCAUCAGGUAACAUUAAAUCGUACCCCAAACCGACACAGGUGGUCAGGUAGAGAAUACCAAGGCGCUUGAGAGAACUCGGGUGAAGGAACUAGGCAAAAUGGUGCCGUAACUUCGGGAGAAGGCACGCUGGUGUGUAGGUGAAGUCCCUGCGGAUGGAGCUGAGACCAGUCGAAGAUACCAGCUGGCUGCAACUGUUUAUUAAAAACACAGCACUGUGCAAACACGAAAGUGGACGUAUACGGUGUGACGCCUGCCCGGUGCCGGAAGGUUAAUUGAUGGGGUUAUCCGUAAGGAGAAGCUCUUGAUCGAAGCCCCGGUAAACGGCGGCCGUAACUAUAACGGUCCUAAGGUAGCGAAAUUCCUUGUCGGGUAAGUUCCGACCUGCACGAAUGGCGUAAUGAUGGCCAGGCUGUCUCCACCCGAGACUCAGUGAAAUUGAACUCGCUGUGAAGAUGCAGUGUACCCGCGGCAAGACGGAAAGACCCCGUGAACCUUUACUAUAGCUUGACACUGAACAUUGAGCCUUGAUGUGUAGGAUAGGUGGGAGGCUUUGAAGCGUGGACGCCAGUCUGCGUGGAGCCAACCUUGAAAUACCACCCUUUAAUGUUUGAUGUUCUAACGUUGGCCCCUUAUCGGGGUUGCGGACAGUGUCUGGUGGGUAGUUUGACUGGGGCGGUCUCCUCCCAAAGCGUAACGGAGGAGCACGAAGGUUAGCUAAUCCUGGUCGGACAUCAGGAGGUUAGUGCAAUGGCAUAAGCUAGCUUGACUGCGAGCGUGACGGCGCGAGCAGGUGCGAAAGCAGGUCAUAGUGAUCCGGUGGUUCUGAAUGGAAGGGCCAUCGCUCAACGGAUAAAAGGUACUCCGGGGAUAACAGGCUGAUACCGCCCAAGAGUUCAUAUCGACGGCGGUGUUUGGCACCUCGAUGUCGGCUCAUCACAUCCUGGGGCUGAAGUAGGUCCCAAGGGUAUGGCUGUUCGCCAUUUAAAGUGGUACGCGAGCUGGGUUUAGAACGUCGUGAGACAGUUCGGUCCCUAUCUGCCGUGGGCGCUGGAGAAUUGAGGGGGGCUGCUCCUAGUACGAGAGGACCGGAGUGGACGCAUCACUGGUGUUCGGGUUGUCAUGCCAAUGGCACUGCCCGGUAGCUAAAUGCGGAAGAGAUAAGUGCUGAAAGCAUCUAAGCACGAAACUUGCCCCGAGAUGAGUUCUCCCUGAGACUUUAAGUCUCCUGAAGGAACGUUAAAGACGAUGACGUUGAUAGGCCGGGUGUGUAAGCGCAGCGAUGCGUUGAGCUAACCGGUACUAAUGAACCGUGAGGCUUAACCUU
rnacentral:rRNA from 1 species